AUCAAAAUCGAGUCUCAGAUCUAUCUUCGAUCCACCGCUCUCUUCUCUCUGAGCCCUCUCUCUCUCUCUCUCAAAAUCCCUCCCUUCUUUCUGGGACGCGACGGAGAUGGAGAGAGCUCCGCUCAAACGCUCCGACGCGACGGAGGUCGUCAACCGCUCAAACGCUCUCCAAAAGCUCCGCUGCGGCCUGGGGAUGACGGCAACGACGUUCCACCUUCAGAUCUCUCUCAAAGGCUCAUAGGUAACGAUAUAUUUUUUCUUUUCUUUUGCUUUUUCCUUAAAAUAGAUCUCAGAUAUCUUCUCCGCCGGAAUCGCACCCACCGUUGGCGAGGACUUCAAGCCAACGGCGGCGAGCAUGUAAAUGACCUAGUUGAUUAUUUUUUGUUCUGCAAAUGGAUGUUCUUGUGUGGCUGUGAAUGGAGAUCUUUUAGCUCAAGGUUCACAAGUGGAAAUGGAAUAGCGAGAAUGAGCUAAGAAGCAUUGUCUGGAAGGAGAUAUUAUUGGCUGGAUUCCUUGACCAAUCUUAGCCAUGGGCUUACUAUUACUGCUAAUGUGCUUACUUUUUCCCAGGAAAGUGGGAACCAAGACUCUUGAAUGGCAAAAUGGGGUAUGGGGAUCACUACCAGCAAGAUGCAGAACCAAAAUAUGAGUGCCAUCUUUUUGUAUGGAGAUAAGCUUGCUGCUUGCUAUUUGAGAACUGCCAUAAGCGCAUGGCAUACAUAAACCUGUCAUGGUAUAACAUGGGGUCCAACAAACAAAUACUUUGUCAACUGUCAAUGCUUGAAAGAAAAAUGGCUCAAGGUAUCUGGCCACAGCAUCUUCUGAUCAUACUGUCAAGAUAUGGAAUGUGGAUGGAUUUACCUUGGAGAAAACUCUCAUAGCUUCUUCCGACACAACAGCGAGAUUAUGGUCCAUGUCUACUGGCAAAGAUAUCAAAGUAUACCAGGGACAUCACAAGGCAGCUGUGUGUUGCGCUCUCCAUGACGGGCCCGAACCCUCUACCCGAUUCUGCAGUAAGCUAGCUAGCUAGCUCAUCCAUCAAUUAUAGAUCAUUUGGUAAACUUGCAGCCAUUACUGACUGGAUGGCUGUGAAAAGGGCAAUAUAAUGUGGUAAUGUUCAGGAUGAUAUUGAAAAGGUCAAUGAUUUGAACCCUGAGGUCUGGUUGUGAGUACAUGUUUAGCAGGUGCAUUUGUUGGCUCCGUAUUUAGUGGUUGGAUAGCAGAUGGGGUUGGUCGGCGCAGAGCAUUUCAACUGUUUGCUCUACCUUAUGCUCUUGGAUUAUGCCAGAAUCAGGCUGCUGCAUUUUGGAAAUGUAUAAACAUCGCGGAAGCUAUGAUGAAGCUGAUGACCCUGGUGCCUUAGCUGCAGUUGGUUGUUUGCGUGCCAUAAGCACAAUCAUUGAGUCAGUGAGUCGGCUUCCACAUCUUUUUGAACAGAUUGAGCCAACACUUUUCCUUAUCAUGCGUAGGAUGCUUACGUCUGACGGACAAGAUGUCUAUGAAGAGGUUCUGGAGAUUGUUUCUUAUAUGACAUUUUACUCGCCAAAAAUAUCAAUGAACAUGUGGAGUCUCUGGCCAUUAAUGAUGGAGGCCCUUGCAGACUGGACUAUUGAUUAUUUCCCAAACAUAUUGGUUCCAUUGGACAACUAUAUAUCGAGGAGCACUGAACAUUUCCUUACUUGCCAGGAACCAGACUACCAGCAAAGCCUUUGGAACAUGUAUGAGGAGCACUGAACAUUUCCUUAGGCGAGCUCGUUUCUGCUAUUAGUUCUUUUCCAAUGCUCAAGAAAAUAUAUUUUUUGGCAGGUUUACCUCUUGUAGACAAAAUUCAUAUGUUUUGAUGAUAUUAUUGUAUUAAAGUAUGAGGAUUUUAAAUAUUAUUGUGUUUUGAUGAUAGUAUUUGCAUUGUGUUAAAA